AUGGAUCCCGAAGGCAACAGUAAACACGCCAUCCUGGAGCGCUUGCUGGUUGAUAAAAAUGCAGAGCCCGUGAAACCGCCAUUAUCACUAUUGGAGGACAUCACGAAUCGUUUCUCUCCUCAUAACCAAAUCGGCUUCGGAGGGUUUGCGGUGGUUUAUAAGGUUGGAAAAUACAUGGUCGCUGUCAAGAAGCUAUCCAACACAUACAAUAUCCGCGAGAAUAAAUUCCACCAAGAGGUUAAAUGCUUGAUGAAGGCUAAGCAUGAGAACAUAGUACGUUUCUUGGGGUAUUGCGCUGAGACACAAGGGGAAAUGGAAGACUACGAGGGAAAGCUUGUCAUGUCAGAUCGACGAAACUGGCUGCUUUGCUCUGAGCAUGUGCCCAACGGGAGUCUUGAUAAGCAUAUUACCGAUGUAUCUACUGGACUUGAAUGGAGAAAACACUAUCGAAUAAUCAGGGGAAUAUGUGAGGGGCUACAUUAUCUUCAUCAGAAGUGCAUUCUUCAUUUGGACCUCAAGCCCGCUAAUAUACUUUUAGAUGAUCACAUGGUACCUAAAAUUACUGAUUUUGGUCUAUCACGGUGUUUCGACGAAGGGCAAACAAGUGCAUUCAGUGAACAAAUAUUUCUAUCACGAGGACAUUUUUCUCCAGAACUCCUGAGAGGACAAAUCACAUACAAGUUAGAUAUAUUUAGCCUAGGCGUCAUAAUGAUGGAGAUACUGAUAGGAGAGAAGAGUUAUCCCGAAGAUGAGAAGGUAGUUGCAAGUUGGAUGAAUCAGGUAGUUGCAAGUUGGAUGGAUCGACUGGAGGCAUUAGAGGGAGAUACACAGUUGGAACAAGUAAGGGUAUGCACUAAAAUAGGGACAGAAUGUUUGGACUUGGACCCGAAGAAGAGACCAAAUACAGGGGACAUAAUCGACAGGCUUGGUAAAACAGGAAUUGUGGACUAUUCAGACAAAAUUGGUAUCAGCAGUUCAUCAGUUGAGCAGGUUAGUUUACUGAACGGUCUCAAGAAAGAAGUUUACUUAUUAGACGUCACGUGCAACAGAUAA
rnacentral:rRNA from 1 species